UACGUAGGUGGCAAGCGUUGUCCGGAUUUACUGGGCGUAAAGGGCGUGCAGGCGGCUUGUUAAGUUCGAGGUGAAAGCUCCCGGCUCAACUGGGAGAGGUCCUUGGAUACUGGCAGGCUUGAGGGAGGCAGAGGAAAGUGGAAUUCCCGGUGUAGUGGUGAUAUGCGUAGAUAUCGGGAGGAACACCAGUGGCGAAGGCGGCUUUCUGGGCCUUACCUGACGCUGAGACGCGAAAGCGUGGGGAGCGAACCGG
rnacentral:rRNA from 1 species